ensembl:lncRNA
GUUUCCUGCGGGUCGGGCUGCAUCUAUGCGAGGGGUGCCCAACGUCCCCUCUGUUCUCCUCGGGCUCAGAAGUGGGAAGGAUAGUGUCCGUGUGGAGGCUCUGUGUUUCGCGGGUGUGAGACACGGAUACAUUUAUGUGAGGAUCUCAAAGCCCACAGAUUGGAGGUUCCUGGACGAGGUCGACCAGAUGGCCCGACACGUUGUUGGGGAUAUUUGUUAAUAUAUGUGGUGUAAUGUAGGUAUUUAAUGAGAAAUCUUGAAAUUAACUAUAAUGAAAAUCAUCGUUAUCAUUGUUACUCAACAAUAAUGUAGUUAUUACCUUUGUUUGCAGUUAAUUUAAGAAACACUGUUUCAAGUUUAUCCACAGAGUAUCCAAUUGAAGACAACCAGAGAAGGAUGUUGAAAUGAACUUUCUUAACACACUGGGAAGUUGGGGAACCUCUCCUUCCAGCCGCGAGGUCCUGCCCUGCAGCAGCCGACCUGGAAAACCAGACCCCAGCCCCUGCAGCAAUGGGCUCCAGGAUUCGGUGCGUGGCCCAGAACUAAUGAUUACACAACUCAGUUUAAACUCUGUGAAAGAAAGUGAAGCUGCUCAGUCAUGCCUGACUCUUUGCAACCCCAUGGACUGUAGCCUACCAGGCUCCCCUGUCCAUGGGAUUUUCCAGGCAAGAGUACUGGAGAGCAUUGCCAUUUCCUUCUCCAGGGGAUCUUCCCAAGCCAGAGAUCCAGCCUGGGUCUCCCCCACUGUAGGGAGAUGCUUUGCCAUCUGAGCCACUUAAACUCUGUACUAGGGAUCAUAUAACAACAAUGUAUCCUGCUUGAGGACAGUUUCUCCUUCCUGAAAACCUUCUAAUUAAUCCUGAUAUCUUAGAAUGUAUAUUAUGGGAAUGGGUCUGGUAGGAUCUUUCUGUUAAAUUCUAAUCCUGUUAUCCUAAAAUGUUAAUUGUGGGAGUGGGUCUGGUAAAACUUUCACAAACCUGAGACAUUCUUUUGAUUUAUUGUAGAAACUAAUUUAAAAAGUAUAUACCUCCCUUGCUAACACUAGCAAGGGGGGCACUCCCCACCCCCUUCUGCUGUCCAUGUCAGAAGCUUUCUCUGACCUUUUCCCACUGUCAUAAAACUCUGCUACACAAACGCUCUUGAGUGAUCAAUCCUGGUCCCUGGUCCUGAAGCUAAAUCUUCUUCGGAGAUCCUGAAUCCGACAUCGUUCACAGUAAGCUCGAUUGAAUCUAUAACAAUCUCUUAAAAGCCAAAUAUAAUCUUAAAAUAAGCUAUGCUGCUGCUAAGUCACUUCAGUCGUGUCCAACUCUGUGUGACCCCAUAGACGGCAGCCCACCAGGCUCCCCUGUUCCUGGGAUUCUCCAGGCAAGAACACUGGAGUGGGUUGCCAUUUGAAAAGUGAAAUUGAAGUUGCUCAGUCGUGUCCUACUCUUAGCGACCCCAUGGACCGCAGCCUACCAGGCUCCUCUAUCCAUGGGAUUUUCCAGGCAAGAGUACUGGAGUGGGUUGUCAUUGCCUUCUCCAAAUUAAGCUAUACGCCCUAUUAAAAUAAAAUAAAAAUUUAAAAUCUUAGUGCCUUUAUU